rnacentral:rRNA from 1 species
AGAACGAACGCUGGCGGCAGGCCUAAAACAUGCAAGUCGAGCGCCCCGCAAGGGGAGCGGCGGACGGGUGAAUAACACGUGGGAAUGUACCUUUCGGUACGGAACAACUCAGGGAAACUUGAGCUAAUACCGUAUGCGCCCUAACGGGGAAAGAUUUAUCGCCGAAAGAUCAGCCCGCGUCCGAUUAGCUAGUUGGUGAGGUAACGGCUCACCAAGGCACCGAUCGGUAGCUGGUUUGAGAGAACGAUCAGCCACACUGGGACUGAGACACGGCCCAGACUCCUACGGGAGGCAGCAGUUGGGAAUCUUGGACAAUGGGCGCAAGCCUGAUCCAGCCAUGCCGCGUGAGUGAUGAAGGCCUUCGGGUUGUAAAGCUCUUUCGCCUACGACGAUAAUGACGGUAGUAGGAGAAGAAGCCCGGCUAACUUCGUGCCAGCAGCCGC